UCACGACAAGACAUUGCAUUCACCUAGCAGCAUUUUCAAAGAAUAUCCUCGAGGCAACCGAAGACCCAACGUAAGGCAAUCGUCGACGUGACACGAAACUCGAAUAAGACUCUGACCUAUACUAAUCUUCUGCUCAGGAUCCUUACACGCAAAAUUGGCACCACAUGGUUGGAGUGAAUGAAAAAAGAGCUGAAAAGUAUUAUCGAAAGCUCCGUGCUAUCAUUAUAUAAAGUGGGAUAUUAAGAAUGAAGGAUACAAUUGAAUUCUUAGUUUUCGCCGCCACUGUCUUCAGCGUUUUUGCGGCAAAUCACACAACGCCCAGAUACUGCUUGAGGCCGAAAGCGCCUGGCAAGAUAUGCGGGGGAGGCCCGUUUACCUCAUGGUAUUUCGAUUCCCACAGUCGUGUAUGCAAAGCCUUCACUUUCGGUGGAUGCAAUGGGAACCUGAACAGGUUUUCUUCCGAAAGACAGUGUCAGCGAUGGUGCUUACGUGGAAUUCCAGAGAAACCGCUGUGUAGCUUGGAUCAAGUUCAAGGACAUGGCAUCGGCCGCUUCUUCGCCUGGUCAUAUGACUCCAAAGUAGACCAUUGUCGUCCACUUCUGUACAGUGGUUGGGGUGGCAAUGCUAACAACUUUGGAAGUUGUCUUGAGUGCAUGAAUAGAUGCAGUGGAAACGAAUACGCUACGUAUAUAUGCCAUAUUCUGAAUUAUCAGAUUAUGGUGUACUACUACAAGGGACUUCCAUUCAGCUUUGGCGGACAUAAAUGAACAGCGUGAUGUUGUCUUUCGGUCAAAAAGAAAUAAAAAAAUUGGAGUAGUCAGUUAUAAGAAAUUCUAGUAUCACCUAACUAGGAGUGUAGAAAUAUAUUCCAGUUUACGCAAAACAGUUUACGGGGCUGGUGAGAGAAUCUUAAGGCUGUAUUCUGUGCUAUAGUGUGUUCUGUUU